CAGCAGUAAGAAUAUAGCACUUAAAAAAGCUUUUUUAAUUAUUAUUAUUUGUUUUUUUUCUUUUUCCCAGUUUGAGAAGUACCAGCAAACAGGCAUGGCCAGCUAGAGUUGGUAGUGAAAAAUGAUAUACUACUGAAAUCCAGGAAGUGCUUAUAUUUGUCUUCUGGAUCUUGUGGGAAAUCAAUGUUACUGGACUAUGAAUGCAGGUCUUUCAGUGCCCUUAAUUUCACAGAAUUGUAGAGUGACUGAGGUUGGCAGGGACCUCUGGGUCCGUCUGGUCCAACCUCUGCUUAAAUAGGGACACCCAAAGCAGAGUGCUCAAGAGCAGGUCCAAGCAGCUGCAGGGAGGGGACUACAACCACUCUGGACAGCCCAUGCCAGUGCUCCAUCUCCCAUACAGCAUAGAAGUGCUUCCUGAUGUUCAGAGAAUCUCCUGUGCUCUGAUUUGUGCUCACUGCUCCUUGUCCUAGAGCCGGGCACCGCUGACAAGAGCCUAUCCCCAUCCUUCAACAUUCCCUUCAUAUAUUUAUAGGCAGUGAUGAGAUUCCCCCUGAGCCUUCUGUUCUCUAGGCUGAGAAGUCCCAGCUCUUCCAGCCUUUCCUCAUAGGAGAGCUAUUUCAGUCCCUUCAUCUUCAUAGUCCUUUAUUGGAUAGUCUCCAGUAUGUCCAUCCUGGACUGUACUGGGGAGUCCAGAACUGGACCCAGUACUCCAGGUUCUUAACCAGUUCUGAGUAAACCACGUGUGACCACAUGCUGGUCACAUUCCUCCUAAUGCAGCCCAGCAUAAUUUUAGCCUUUUGGGCAUCAACAACACACUAGGAAUCUUAGGGAAGAUGAUUUCAAAGGCCUUCCUGAAGUUCUGGUAGGCAAUGUCCACUGCUCUCUCCUUGUUUACCAUGCCACUUCACCAUACAAGUCAAUUAAGUUGGUCAAGCAUACUUUCCCUUGGCGGCAUCAUGCUGAAUGCUGCUGAUGAUUUUCUUGUUGCUCAUAUGCCUGCAGCUCUUUUUCUAGAAUUUGCUGCUCCAGAAUCUUAGAUAUAAAUGAAAAUUCUCUAAAGAAUUUUGGAAAAGAAUAAGAGCAUCCAUACAGCUGAGGGCUGCUUACAGAUCUAUCUGGUGUUGAUAACAUUGUCCUGACUGUAAUCUUCCUCCUUUCUGUAAUAAAUCAGGAGAUGCUUACGAUUGCAGAGAACCAAUCAUGUUGAUUACAAGCACCCUCUGUUCCAAUAACUGCAGUAUUGUGUGAUAAUGAUUGGACUCUGGGAGAAUUCAUACCUUUAAGUGAUGAGACACUUGUCCUUAGAAGAGGAAUAGCGAUUUGAUUGCAUUAGCACUGCACUCAGUUUGUUAAUUUCCUGCCAGCAGAGAAAUGAGAAUAUACAGUCUCUUAGGAACUGCUACUUUGAAAACUCUCCUGUUUCUUCAGGUUCUGUUUGGCUGUCUACGUUUUUUCAUCUGUAUUUGCAUGUAGGAGGAGACCCUUCAGGAGUCACAGGCACCACGAUGACUUGUUGUACCACUGCUUCUACUUCCACCCACUGGCCAACCUCCAGCUCCUGUUUGGUGUCAGUCAGUGUCUGAGCUGGGGCUUUUCCCCUGUGCUAGAGGAAAGAAUUGAGCUUUUGUGAAAUGUUGGCUCUGUCAUCCAGGAGAUUUGGCUUUCUGCUGCGCUGAGCUGUGGAAGAGAGGGUUUUUCAGAGAUGACUUUGAGAAUAACGCUGAGCUUCAGAAUUUUGUGUGUCCUACAGGCAAGACUUCCAUUAAAUGACUUCUCUCUUGCCCUCUGAUGUUUUUCACUCAGAGGGUGGUGACACACUGGAACAAGUUGCCCAAGGAUGUUGUGCAUGCUCUAACCCUGGAGGCAUUCAAGGCCAGGCUGGAUGUGGCUCUGGGCAGCCUGGUCUGGUGGUUGGUGACCCUGCACAUAACAGGGGAGUUGAAACCAGAUGAUCAUUGUGGUCCUUUUCAACCCAGGCUGUUCUGUGGUUCUAUCAAGACUUCAUUCUAGUUGUGUGGAAGUUAAAGAGCAAUCACAGAACCUUUCACAUCCAACCAGUUUGGGUUAUGUGCAUGGUCGUUAUUUUUCUCACUGCUUCAGGGCCUGCCCUCUGUGAUUCACAGGCUGCCCUCUCCUUGGAAAACUUCCAUGAACCUUCAGAAAUGGGAGGGCUUUGAGAUGAGUUACUGGGCUAAAACCAUCAAUAGGAAGGCACUGAUGAGCAGCAGGUACUGAGUGUUCAACCUCAUGCAUAAACUGGUCUUACUGCUUACUCCUAGGUGUAUUUCACCCAUUUUCUUACGUUGAAAAUAAUGUUUGCACUAUUCUGGUCACUUCAGCAGCCAGCUUUAUGUCACCAGCAUACUUCCCUAAAGACUGAGAUUUUGGUUCUAGCUCAACAUAUGGACCUCAGAACGAAGAGGUGACGUGAUUGAUCUCUCUCCCCCCACCUCACAGCAUGUUGCUGUAAGUAGAAAGUAGACACAACACAUAAGAAGAUCAGACUGACCCUUGUAGCUGGACCAAAAAACAAACAAACAAAAAAAACAACCCACAAAAACAGUCUGCAGAAUAUUGUUUGCACAGCACCACUAACUAACCACUGAUCAUUGGUUGUUACAGGACUUCUGCACAGCCCAGUUGAAGAUGGGCAGGCAGCUCCUGGAAGGACACACGAUGCCCUUUCUUCUUCUGAAUGUUGGCUUGCUGUGGGGCUCUGGAGAAAUAACUGAGCUGAGGAGGGGGACAGCGCUGGUGCUUAGGUCUCUAAGGUGUGAUCUCCUGCCUCCAUCCGAGACAGCUCAGGAAUCCAUAUGGUCCUGCCAAGGCAAAGGUCUUCAGCUCCUCACAGAUCUCUCCUCCUCUUGCUGCGGGCAGAAAGCUGGUGCUUUUUCAGGCAAAGCUCAAGAAACAUUAAAUAAAAACACGAAACUGAGGAGCAGCUGAUGGACUGUGGCUCUGGACCCAGAAUAAUUAAGACUGAGGCUGUUAUCACUUCUUUUUGUAUUAUGAACAUUGUGAUGUUAGCGUUGAUAAAAUCAAUGCAUACAUCUUUAAAAAAAAAUCAGAACGAAAAAACAUAGAGCCUGGAUUCACCUUUCAGGGGGACUCGGUGAGAAGGAAAUGAUUGUUUGUCACUCUGGAUGCAUCAGAAGAAGGAUGUAGGUGGUUCUCUCAGAGUGACACUCUCCCUUCAGUGCUGGGGAGGAGUGUUGUAGCAGUUCAAAGCCAUGGAAAUCAAUGGAAAUGUCCCUGGAGAAGCGAGACUGGGUUUGCAUGGAAAGAGCAUGGACACAUUUAGGAACCUGCUCGAGCAGGCAUCUGCAGGAAAGCCACUAAGUGCACAAGCCUCUUUGCAAAGUGGAUCCUUGUGUCUGAUUCUCAGCAUGAAAUGACUGCAUGGCUCCAGCCCAAGAACAGCACUGACAUCUCCGGCUUGCAGACAGUUUCUGUGCAUCAUCUUGCCAUGCUGCUGAUGGGAAAGGCAGGUCAAUUCAGUAGUGAUUUCCUGGCUGGGCAAUCACUGAUAGAAAUAUUCAUUCCUCCAUGUAUAUGUUAAUAUGUCUGCACUUCCCUUAGGUAUGUGCAGGAAUGCUGAGCAUCUUAGUGUGGCAGAGCACCCCCUCUCCCAUGCCCCUUGAAAUGUGCAGAUAUUGAUGAAAAUGAGCAGUUUUGGUUU
ensembl:lncRNA